CAUUAAAUAACUAAAAGUAAGUUUUGGUUUUUUAAGCCAUCAAUAAUAGUCUAACAUCUAUUUUUAAUGA
rnacentral:tRNA from 1 species